rnacentral:rRNA from 1 species
CUUUCGGGUGUGUACUGGCUAACCCAGGCUUUUACGGCCGGUCUAUCCCCCGUUGGUCUUCACCGASUGCGGGCCGGGAUGGCUGGCGAUUUUACUUUGAACAAAUCAGAGUGCUUAACACAGGCKUUUCGCUUGAAUGUUCGUGCAUGGAAUAAUAGAAAAGGAUUUCGGUUCUAUUUUAUUGGUUUUAUAGACUGAGAUAAUGGUUAACAGAGACAAACGGGGGCAUUCGUAUUGCUGCGUGAGAGGUGAAAUUCUUGGACCGCAGCAAGACGAACUACAGCGAAAGCAUUUGCCAAGAAUGUCUUCAUUAAUCAAGAACGAAAGUCAGAGGUUCGAAGGCGAUCAGAUACCGCCCUAGUUCUGACCGUAAACGAUGCCAACUUGCGAUCCGCCGGCCGAAUUAUCGCGCUGGUGGGGAGCAUUCCGGAAACGAAAGUCUUCCGGUUCCGGGGGAAGUAUGGUUGCAAAGCUGAAACUUAAAGGAAUUGACGGAAGGGCACCACCAGGAGUGGAGCCUGCGGCUUAAUUUGACUCAACACGGGGAAACUCACCCGGCCCGGACACCGUAAGGAUUGACAGAUUGAGAGCUCUUUCAUGAUUCGGUGGUUGGUGGUGCAUGGCCGUUCUUAGUUCGUGGAGCGAUUUGUCUGGUUUAUUCCGAUAACGAGCGAGACUCUGGCCUACUAAAUAGUGUACGCAUUGCUGCUGUGCGUUCAGCACUUCUUAGAGGGAUUUUCGGUGUUCAGCCGCACGAAAUUGAGCAAUAACAGGUCUGUGAUGCCCUUAGAUGUCCGGGGCUGCACGCGCGCUACACUGGCAAAAUCAGCGUGCUUGUCCUGCGCCGAAGGGCGCGGGUAAACCCUUGAAAAUUUGCCGUGAUUGGGAUCGGGAAUUGCAAUUAUUUCCCGUGAACGAGGAAUUCCAAGUAAGUGCCAGUCAUCAGCUGGCGUUGAUUACGUCCCUGCCCUUUGUACACACCGCCCGUCGCUGCCCGGAACUGGGCCACUUCGAGAAU